rnacentral:rRNA from 1 species
AUUGAACGCUGGCGGCAGGCCUAACACAUGCAAGUCGAGCGAGCGGCGGACGGGUGAGUAAUGUCCGGGAAACUGCCUGCUGGAGGGGGAUAACUACUGGAAACGGUAGCUAAUACCGCAUACCCUCAGAUGUGCCCAGAUGGGAUUAGCUAGUGGGUGGGGUAACGGCUCACCUAGGCGACGAUCCCUAGCUGGUCUGCGAGGAUGACCAGCAACACUGGAACGGAGACAGGGUCCAGACUCCUACGGGAGGAAGAAGUGGGGAAUAUUGCACAAUGGGCGAAAGCCGGAGGCAGCAAUGCGGGGUGUGUGAAGAGGGCUUUCGGGUGGUAAAGCACGUUCAGCGGGGAGGCGUUACCCGCAGAGGAAGCACCGGCUAACGCCGUGCCAGCAGCCGCGGUAAUAC